rnacentral:rRNA from 1 species
GACGAACGCUGGCGGCGUGCCUAAUACAUGCAAGUAGAACGCACAGUUUAUACCGUAGCUUGCUACACCAUAGACUGUGAGUUGCGAACGGGUGAGUAACGCGUAGGUAACCUGCCUGGUAGCGGGGGAUAACUAUUGGAAACGAUAGCUAAUACCGCAUAAUAUUAAUUAUUGCAUGAUAAUUAAUUGAAAGGUGCAAUUGCACCACUACCAGAUGGACCUGCGUUGUAUUAGCUAGUAGGUGAGGUAACGGCUCACCUAGGCGACGAUACAUAGCCGACCUGAGAGGGUGAUCGGCCACACUGGGACUGAGACACGGCCCAGACGCCUACGGGAGGCAGCAGUAGGGAAUCCUCGGCAAUGGACGAAAGUCUGACCGAGCAACGCCGCGUGAGUGAAGAAGGUUUUCGGAUCGUAAAGCUCUGUUGUAAGAGAAGAACGGGUGUGAGAGUGGAAAGUUCACACUGUGACGGUAUCUUACCAGAAAGGGACGGCUAACUACGUG